GAAAAGCGACGAUGUCCUCAAGCUCGGAAGGGUACCUUUCACUCGUGGAUUAACCAGUCGUCGAUCAUGAUCAACAUUAUUGAAUUUCGUUGGGCAUCGUUCCGACAACACGUAUAGCUUGAACAUCAACUACUACGUUAGUGUGCAUCGGUGUCGGUGA